rnacentral:pre_miRNA from 1 species
AGUGGAAUUGUUGGGUCAUUUGGUAACUCUUUGCUUAACUUUCUGAAUAACUGCCAGAUUGUUUUCCAAAGAAGCUGUACCAUUUUACAUUCCCACCAACAAU